GUGGGGAAUUUUGGACAAUGGGCGAAAGCCUGAUCCAGCAAUGCCGCGUGCAGGAUGAAGGCCCUCGGGUUGUAAACUGCUUUUGUACGGAACGAAAAGCCUGGGGCUAAUAUCCCCGGGUCAUGACGGUACCGUAAGAAUAAGCACCGGCUAACUACGUGCCAGCAGCCGCGGUAAUACGUAGGGUGCAAGCGUUAAUCGGAAUUACUGGGCGUAAAGCGUGCGCAGGCGGUUUUGUAAGACAGUGGUGAAAUCCCCGGGCUCAACCUGGGAACUGCCAUUGUGACUGCAAGGCUAGAGUGCGGCAGAGGGGGAUGGAAUUCCGCGUGUAGCAGUGAAAUGCGUAGAUAUGCGGAGGAACACCGAUGGCGAAGGCAAUCCCCUGGGCCUGCACUGACGCUCAUGCACGAAAGCGUGGGGAGCAAACAGGAUUAGAUACCCCGGUAGUCC
rnacentral:rRNA from 1 species